AGCUUUGCACAGUGGCAGUAUUGUAGCCAAUGAGGUUUAUCCGAGGCGCGAUUAUUGCUAAUUAAAAAUGUGAUGUCUAUUUGGGUUGAACUACAUGUUUGCAACUUUUCUCCCUCUGAUUUUAUAAUUUACAAACAGUAUAGGAAAA